UAAUACCGCAUACGACCGUACGGGUGAAAGUGGGGGACCUUCGGGCCUCACGCGAUGAGAUGAGCCGAUGCCGGAUUAGCUAGUUGGCGGGGUAAAGGCCCACCAAGGCGACGAUCCGUAGCUGGUCUGAGAGGAUGAUCAGCCACACUGGAACUGAGACACGGUCCAGACUCCUACGGGAGGCAGCAGUGGGGAAUAUUGGACAAUGGGGGCAACCCUGAUCCAGCCAUGCCGCGUGUGUGAAGAAGGCCUUCGGGUUGUAAAGCACUUUUGUUGGGGAAGAAACCGGCCGGGUUAAUACCCUGGUUGAAUGACGGUACCCAAAGAAUAAGCACCGGCUAACUUCGUG
rnacentral:rRNA from 1 species